rnacentral:rRNA from 1 species
AUACGGAGGGUCCAAGCGUUAUCCGGAUUCAUUGGGCGUAAAGCGCGCGCAGGCGGUCUUUUAAGUUGGAUGUGAAAGCCUACGGCUCAACCGUAGAACUGCAUCCAAAACUAUUAGACUAGAGUGUGAGAGAGGAAGAUGGAAUUAGUUGUGUAGGGGUAAAAUCCGUAGAGAUAACUAGGAAUACCAAAAGCGAAGGCAAUCUUCUGGAACACUACUGACGCUGAGGCGCGAAAGCGUGGGGAGCAAACAGGAUUAGAUACCCCAGUAGUCC